rnacentral:misc_RNA from 1 species
CAACCCUCAAGCUCUGCUUGGUAUUGGGCUCCGCUGUCCUGGCGGGCCUUAAAAUCAGUGGCGGUGCCAUUCGGCUUCAAGCGUAGUAAUUCUUCUCGCUUCGGAGGCCCGGGUGCGUGCUUGCCAACAACCCCCAAUUUUUUCA